rnacentral:pre_miRNA from 1 species
UUUAUACCCUCUUCGUUUAAAAAUAUUUGUCCGGAAAAUGAAUGUAUCUAAACGUAUUUUAGUUUUAGAUACAUCCAUUUUUAUUCAUUUCUCCACAAGUAUUUGCGGACGGAGGGAGUAUUAU